UUGUUUCCAAUGGGAGGCCCCGGGAGGCGAUGCCAAGCCGCUAGAAGGCGACUCAGUGAGCGGGGGGGGAGAGAAGCGCAGGCAGCAGCCGGGACUGUGGAGAUCCUGCAGCCGCCUCACGGUCCCUGUGCAUGCGGGUGAAAGCGGCGCGGGGUCGCCGGUGUGACGCCUGAGACUCAGCAGAUUGAUCGUCAGUUGAAGCCACAGUGGAGCAACAUGGAUGGAUUUCCUGACCAGCAAGUGCCUUACUGUAACUCCACAACGCUGCAAGAAAAGACGAGGAGCUGCGAGAGGCCAGCAAAUGACAGAAAGAGAAAAUUCAUUAAGUCCGACCUGGCUCAGGACACUGAAGAGCUCUUCCAGGACCUCAGUCAGCUGCAGGAGACCUGGCUGGCAGAAGG